UCUGAAUGUAGAAAUUAGCAACUGAUGAAAAUGUUGUUGAUCAUUUCCAAUGUUCAAAAAUCUGAUUUAUCAAUUAAAGAUUUUUCUUGUUGGAUUUUAGACAUUGAUAAUGAUAAUGAUGAUGGUAAAUAUGAUUAAAAAACUAUUUGAAAUAUUUUAAUUUAGUCACAGUUAGUUAAUUUCACAUAGCACUAAAAUGAUAACAACCAGAUAAGUUUCAUGAUUGAUGUGAUUUAUUGAUGCAUUCGCUUUCCCCUGCACAACUGAAAUACUUUCAUUUAAUCUAGUGAGUCCUCCACCUCAGGAAAAAUAAUAUUAACCAGGUAAGUUUCAUGAUUGAUGUGAUUUAUUGAUGCAUGCGCUUUCCCCUGCACAACUGAAAUACUUUCAUUUAAUCUAGUGAGUCCUCCACCUCAAGAAAGGCCUGCUUUGCAAGUUGUAAACCGUGAAGGUAUAUUAGUACUUUGUUCAAUAUUAUUGUUGCGGGGAGCAGGCAGAGUGUUACAUGGACAAGUGAGAGGUUACUAAAGUUUAAUUGCUAAUGGUCAUGCAGCUAACUCCAGAUUUUUGGGGCUGUUUGUUUGUUAUGUGGCCGACGAGGCCACACUAAAGUCGUGUGUCCCCAGCUUCAGGCGGCACACAAAACACCGGCCAAGCUGGUAAUGCAGUUUACAAACUGCACGUUUGAGAAGUAAAUAUUGCUUGAACUUCUCAAACGUGCAGAUUAGGCUACGUUGACAUACAGUCUAAUUGAAAUUUCCUCAUUCAAGAUCUUGCCCGUGGUUAACAUUUAAAAAAACAACGAGCUAUCAGUACAUCAAAGACGAGACAAUAUUGUUUUCAACUAGCUGCUCAGAUAUCACUG